GCAAAAACUACUGAGUUUAUUGUCAAAAGUACUCUUCUUGGCCUUUGUGGGCCCUUCAAACACACUAUAUAUUCUGGAUGAGUUCGUGUCAAAAUUUCAAAUUAUUGGUUUUUGAUUUAUUAUUAUUUUAGGAUAUAUAAAACCAUGGUAAAUAAAAAGCCAACAUGUCUAAUAUGUAUAUCUGAAAAGAAAUUGGAAUGCGAUUUAAUGUCCGAAAGUUCUACAAAUAACAUUUAUAUGUAAUCCAUUACGUAUGUGAUUCUGAACAUUGACGUUGGGUCUCGGUCCCGGUACCGGUCUUGGUCUUGGUCUCGGUCUCGGACACGCUUUCGGUCUCGGACACGCUCUCGGCCUCGGGGGUUUCUUUGGUAAUGCUGUCGCUUGAUCGCACCACAAUGUCAAGAUGAUAACAAAAAUAAAAACAAUUUGAGAAACCUUUAAGAGUUUCAUGUUGAUUCUUUGGCGUUUUAAUAUAUACUGAAA